rnacentral:rRNA from 1 species
UACGAAGGGGGCUAGCGUUGCUCGGAAUCACUGGGCGUAAAGGGUGCGUAGGCGGGUCUUUAAGUCAGGGGUGAAAUCCUGGAGCUCAACUCCAGAACUGCCUUUGAUACUGAAGAUCUUGAGUUCGGGAGAGGUGAGUGGAACUGCGAGUGUAGCGGUGAAAUGCGUAGAUAUUGGGAGGAACACCAGUGGCGAAGGCGGCUACCUGGACCGGUUCUGACGCUGAGGCGCGAAAGCUAGGGGAGCAAACGGG